rnacentral:rRNA from 1 species
AUUGAACGCUGGCGGCAGGCCUAACACAUGCAAGUCGAGCGAGCGGCGGACGGGUGAGUAAUGUCUGGGAAACUGCCUGCUGGAGGGGGAUAACUACUGGACACGGUAGCUAAUACCGCAUACCAUCAGAUGUGCCCAGAUGGGAGUAGCUAGUAGGUUGGGUAACGGCUCACCUCGGCGACGAUCCCUAGCUGGUCUGAGAGGAUGACCAGCUAAACAGGAACGGAGACCCGGACCGGACGCCUACGGGAGUCUGGAGUAGGGAAUGUAGCACAAUGGGCGCAAGCUUGAUGCAGCCAAGCCGCGUGAUAGAAGAAGGCCUAGGGGUUAGAAAGCACUUUCAGCGGGGAGGCGUUAACCGCAGAAGAAGCACCAGCUAACUCCGUGGCAGCAGCCGCCGUAAUAC